UACGUAGGGUGCGAGCGUUGUCCGGAAUUACUGGGCGUAAAGAGCUCGUAGGUGGUUUGUCGCGUUGUUCGUGAAAACUCACAACUCAAUUGUGGGCGUGCGGGCGAUACGGGCAGACUGGAGUACUGCAGGGGAGACUGGAAUUCCUGGUGUAGCGGUGGAAUGCGCAGAUAUCAGGAGGAACACCGGUGGCGAAGGCGGGUCUCUGGGCAGAAACUGACGCUGAGACACGAAGGCCAGGGGAGCAAACGGG
rnacentral:rRNA from 1 species